rnacentral:rRNA from 1 species
UACAGGGGGGGCAAGCGUUGUUCGGAAUUACUGGGCGUAAAGGGCCAGUAGGCGGCCAACUAAGUCCGACGUGAAAUCCCCAGGCUUAACCUGGGAACUGCGUCGGAUACUGGAUGGCUUGAAUUCGGGAGAGGGAUGCAGAAUUCCAGGUGUAGCGGUGAAAUGCGUAGAUAUCUGGAGGAACACCGGUGGCGAAGGCGGCAUCCUGGACCGGCAUUGACGCUGAGGCGCGAAAGCCAGGGGAGCAAACGGG